UACCCUGAUGAAAAAGAGCCUUUGCUCGAUAACCCAGCUCGUUGAGGAGGGAGUAACGCCCCACUAUUCCUUUGAGAUAAAUGUUUUUUCUGAUUCC
rnacentral:snoRNA from 1 species